CCCAUUCCACUUCCACUUCUUCCCAUUCCACUUCCACUUCCUUCUUUAAUAAUUCCCAACACAUCCUCUGCCUCCCCCGGUCUUCCUUCUUGGUCCCCGAAACAAAUCCACCUCCCUGAGAGCUUAGACCUCCUAAUCUCCGGUCCUGUCACCACUAGCACAUAUAGCUAUGGCCAACAGCCGGGUGGCUGCUCGACUCCGUCCACCAGCCGGUUGACUGGUUCGAGAGGAAGAGAUGAGAAGGAUAGGGCGUGUGGCGGCUAUAGGGAAGAGAGAAGGUAGGGGUCCCUGGCGGAUUAUGGCGGCGGCGGUACCGACGGGAGAGAGGGGGAGCAUGCUAUGAGGGAGACGAAGUACCAACGCGCUGCCCCUGACCGGAGAAAUCGCCGGUGUUCUACCUGAACGCGGGUCAUAGAUGCAAGUGGUGCUGGUCCUCCGAGGGCCAGGCUGGUGGUGCGGCCGGGAUGGGCUCCGAUCAGAGCAACAACUUGGAGUGGCGAUAGAUCCAUCUUCUCCCACAAGUGCCGCCCCGGCUAAUUCAGAGACCAGAUUAUACUGUGGCAAUGGUGGAAUUACUUUUCCAAGCUGACAUCAUUCUUUUGGGGAGGAUGUCCUGCUCUUUUGUGUUGGUGAUGGAAUCAAAGCUGAUGCUAAGAAGGAAAGGCUACAAUAGAUGCUUCGCUUUGGGUUGCCUUGAUUCAACCUGUUUCAAAAUGAUAUACGUCUUGAGGAUAUGAGAGGUAAGAAGCAUGAUGGUGUGCAGUAUGCAUCGCUACAGGACUUUUCUACAAAGCCUGCUUCUUCCAGGUACGAUACUAGAUGUUAUACAUGGAAAAGUAGCUGCCAUGCAGCAGUACCCAGUAGCAGUCGCCAAUGGAGGAGCAUGGCCUUUCCGAUCUUGGUGAUCUUAAUGAAUAUUUUUGCUUGAAAGGUCUGUAGGUUAUAUACAAAAAUCUAUAACAGCUGCACUUUUUCAUGGCUAUUUAUAUAGUCGGGUCAUUCUCCUAUGUCACGUGGUUGGGUGACUUGCUAGAGUUUUCCCUUACCAUUGUUUCCACUAUAGUGCGCUUGGUUAGUCUAUGCAUUAGUUGUUGUUUGUUCGCUCGUUGUUCAGUGUUGUAAGGUUUUAAUGUUGUUUGUACUUUCUUUCUAUCUUAACUCAACACAUUUUGUUCUCGUGCAUGGUUAAAAAAAUCGUUCCAUGUCUGAAGUUAACAAGAAGCAAGUUAUUCCCAUUGAUUUUUAGCUUCUAUGGGCCCUCUCGUAGCACCAUCUGUAAGUGUCGUAUCUCUCUCUCUCUCUCUCACACACACACACACACACACAAUAUAUUUUGUUAAAGAUCUUGAUAUAUACAUAGGGCAACAAAAUUAUCUUUGCUUCCUUCCUCAAAUGGGUACUGAAGUCGUCAUCUGCUUUCAUGCUUCUGGUGGACAGAUUAUACACACUGUGUGCUAGCUAGUAAACAUUUUUUUUGGAAUAACUGGUAAACAAAAUAACUGAAGCAAUUUUGAAGUGAUGUCUUACUUGGUGCAGUCUAACUUUGAACUUUUUUCUAAUUUACAUUCUCUCUCUGAAGGUUACUUCAAGUACAGGCAACAGUCUGAAGGUAUAUACAUAUUUAUGUUUCUGAGGUAAGUCAUGUACCUGUUUUACUACAGAUCAUGAUGGCUCGUUUCGUUUUUUAUGAAUUCCACAAUAAUUUUCUCUAUACUUCCCUUUGUAUAAGUGUUCCAUCUAGAUGUUAGGAAAAGGGCAUAUAGUAUGGAUGCAUAAAUAGAUUAUUCUACAGUUUCAUCUUUAGUAUGGUCGAUCACAGAUCACUGAAACUAUAGAGUACUCCAUAAAUUAUGAACUUUUGUGACAACAGAAAUUAUGAACAUUAUAGUUAAACUUUGUUGAACAUUCUGCACUACAUUUUAUUUGUUGCUCAUUUUAUUUGGUCAGCCACACUAAAAGAGUUUUAGAAAGAUACCAGUGUAACGACUAUCUAGGUACACCCAAGAUCCUAAAAAAUCAAUUAAGACCUACCAAAAUGUUAUGGAUUGAUCUAAUUUUCCUUGAUAUAGUCGGUUUGCGCAAAAACUAGAUUUUAUCAGAGGUGUUACUGAACCAUUGGGGAAGGCAAUGCUAUCAUCCACUUGCAACUCCUGUUCGUCCAUUCUCUUUUUAGGAUCACAUUUUCCAACAUCUUAUAUUGCUGAAGAUGUCUGGCGAAAUUACUUUCUGAAAGUCCAAAAGAUUUUUUUUGAUGGUAUGCCAUCCAUAAUUGUUUUUGUCGUUCAUUACAUAUUCUAAUACUAAUUGAUUUGGAUGCAAGACAAAUGGAUCUUCUCUAAAUAGCAAAAGUAUCUUAAUAUUCACAUGUUGCUUUUGUCUUGAUUAUGUAGUUUCCUAACAUGCAAUAAUUUCAGCUUGAUAAUUCUCACUCAAGCAUGGAUGAAGAUGUACAUAUAAAUGGUUAUACGUACUAUGAGAUUUAGAAUUUCAGACCAGUACGGUAUUUUUCACUUUGUUUCAAAUUUUCUUUAAAGAAUGGAUGAAAACAUGAGAAUUCGACAGCUAUUUUUGUUAUUGGGAAGCUUGGCACCAGCUCAAUGGUAGCGUAUAUGGGAAAACUUUUAACCAGUUGGUUAUGUGGGUAAUUGAC
rnacentral:rRNA from 1 species